rnacentral:rRNA from 1 species
GCAGGGUGAGUCGACCCCUAAGGCGAGGCCGAAAGGCGUAGUCGAUGGGAAACGGGUUAAUAUUCCCGUACUUGGUGUUACUGCGAAGGGGGGACGGAGAAGGCUAUGUUGGCCGGGCGACGGUUGUCCCGGUUUAAGCGUGUAGGCUGGUUUUCCAGGCAAAUCCGGAAAAUCAAGGCUGAGGCGUGAUGACGAGGCACUACGGUGCUGAAGCAACAAAUGCCCUGCUUCCAGGAAAAGCCUCUAAGCAUCAGGUAACAUCAAAUCGUACCCCAAACCGACACAGGUGGUCAGGUAGAGAAUACCAAGGCGCUUGAGAGAACUCGGGUGAAGGAACUAGGCAAAAUGGUGCCGUAACUUCGGGAGAAGGCACGCUGACACGUAGGUGAAGUGAUUUACUCAUGGAGCUGAAGUCAGUCGAAGAUACCAGCUGGCUGCAACUGUUUAUUAAAAACACAGCACUGUGCAAACACGAAAGUGGACGUAUACGGUGUGACGCCUGCCCGGUGCCGGAAGGUUAAUUGAUGGGGUCAGCGCAAGCGAAGCUCCUGAUCGAAGCCCCGGUAAACGGCGGCCGUAACUAUAACGGUCCUAAGGUAGCGAAAUUCCUUGUCGGGUAAGUUCCGACCUGCACGAAUGGCGUAAUGAUGGCCAGGCUGUCUCCACCCGAGACUCAGUGAAAUUGAACUCGCUGUGAAGAUGCAGUGUACCCGCGGCAAGACGGAAAGACCCCGUGAACCUUUACUAUAGCUUGACACUGAACAUUGAGCCUUGAUGUGUAGGAUAGGUGGGAGGCUUUGAAGCGUGGACGCCAGUCUGCGUGGAGCCGACCUUGAAAUACCACCCUUUAAUGUUUGAUGUUCUAACGUGGACCCGUAAUCCGGGUUGCGGACAGUGUCUGGUGGGUAGUUUGACUGGGGCGGUCUCCUCCUAAAGAGUAACGGAGGAGCACGAAGGUUGGCUAAUCCUGGUCGGACAUCAGGAGGUUAGUGCAAUGGCAUAAGCCAGCUUGACUGCGAGCGUGACGGCGCGAGCAGGUGCGAAAGCAGGUCAUAGUGAUCCGGUGGUUCUGAAUGGAAGGGCCAUCGCUCAACGGAUAAAAGGUACUCCGGGGAUAACAGGCUGAUACCGCCCAAGAGUUCAUAUCGACGGCGGUGUUUGGCACCUCGAUGUCGGCUCAUCACAUCCUGGGGCUGAAGUAGGUCCCAAGGGUAUGGCUGUUCGCCAUUUAAAGUGGUACGCGAGCUGGGUUUAGAACGUCGUG